UACGAGGGGGGGCAAGCGUUGUUCGGAAUUAUUGGGCGUAAAGGGUGCGUAGGCGGUCUGAUAAGUCAUCUGUGAAAUCUAUGGGCUCAACCCAUAGUCUGCAGGCGAAACUGUCGGGCUUGAGUAUGGGAGAGGUGAGUGGAAUUUCCGGUGUAGCGGUGAAAUGCGUAGAUAUCGGAAGGAACACCUGUGGCGAAAGCGGCUCACUGGACCAUCACUGACGCUGAUGCACGAAAGCUAGGGGGAGCAAACAGG
rnacentral:rRNA from 1 species